rnacentral:misc_RNA from 1 species
ACCGAAGCCCGUAACCGCCUCCGGGCGUGACGGGCGGCUGGUAUCCUCCUUCUGAGGGGUGUAUGGCGCAGCGUGGGCCGGCCUUCGGGUCGCGAAUUCCUAAUGUUGCGGCGGACCACUCCUUGGGCAACUCAGUGGGGGCAAUUGGAUCGCCCGUGAGCACCUUUGGCGGCUUCGGCCCCGGAGGUGACCCGGGCUGGGCACUGGGCUUCGGUCCAUGGUCCUGACCUCUUAACUAACCCUGAACCCCUCUUUACGGAGGGUUGCCGGUGGUCCCUUCKCCCUUCCGGGGCGGAGUGKCCUCCCGGUUAANAUAGUUACCUGGYUGAUUCUGCCAGUAGUCWU